GGUGUUUUCUUAGACCAGCAUAUCUAAUAAUAUCUGUUAUGUUUUAUUUCAGGGAUAUUUUUUUAAUGUAAAAGUCGCUUAAUUGAGCUUUCUGAUUUAGCAUAUACAUGGUUUUGACGUCAAAUAAUGCACUAUUAGGCAUCUACAGCAAGAUACGAUUGUGUUAAAGGAUUCGGAACGACAUGAGGCUCUCAGUUGCUCAUCUUUGCGGAUGAGGCUCUCCGCCUGCUCCCGCACGGUUUUCUCCGCGUCCUCCAGCCUCUGCUCC